GACGAACGCUGGCGGCGUGCCUAAUACAUGCAAGUAGAACGCUGAAGGAGGAGCUUGCUCUUCUGGAUGAGUUGCGAACGGGUGAGUAACGCGUAGGUAACCUGCCUGGUAGCGGGGGAUAACUAUUGGAAACGAUAGCUAAUACCGCAUAAGAGUAGAUGUUGCAUGACAUUUACUUAAAAGGUGCAAUUGCAUCACUACCAGAUGGACCUGCGUUGUAUUAGCUAGUUGGUGGGGUAACGGCUUACCAAGGCGACGAUACAUAGCCGACCUGAGAGGGUGAUCGGCCACACUGGGACUGAGACACGGCCCAGACUCCUACGGGAGGCGGCAGUAGGGAAUCUUCGGCAAUGGACGGAAGUCUGACCGAGCAACGCCGCGUGAGUGAAGAAGGUUUUCGGAUCGUAAAGCUCUGUUGUAAGAGAAGAACGAGUGUGAGAGUGGAAAGUUCACACUGUGACGGUAUCUUACCAGAAAGGGACGGCUAACUACGUG
rnacentral:rRNA from 1 species